rnacentral:rRNA from 1 species
CCUACGGGAGGCAGCAGUGAGGAAUAUUGGUCAAUGGACGAGAGUCUGAACCAGCCAAGUAGCGUGAAGGAUGACUGCCCUAUGGGUUGUAAACUUCUUUUAUAUGGGAAUAAAAUGUUCCACGUGUGGGAUUUUGUAUGUACCAUAUGAAUAAGGAUCGGCUAACUCCGUGCCAGCAGCCGCGGUAAUACGGAGGAUCCGAGCGUUAUCCGGAUUUAUUGGGGUUAAAGGGAGCGUAGGUGGAUUGUUAAGUCAGUUGUGAAAGUCUGCGGCUCAACCGUAAAAUUGCAGUUGAAACUGGCAGUCUUGAGUACAGGAGAGGUGGGCGGAAUUCGUGGUGUAGCGGUGAAAUGCUUAGAUAUCACGAAGAACUCCGAUUGCGAAGGCAGUUCACUGGACUGCAACUGACACUGAGGCUCGAAAGUGUGGGUAUCAAACAGGAUUAGAUACCCUUGUAGUC